rnacentral:lncRNA from 1 species
AACAAUAUGAACAUAAUAAAUUUAUAUUUAAGUAUUUACUACUUAUCCAAAAAUACAUAAUCAAACAAAACUUACCAAGAUUAAGACUAAGUUAUCACUACUACCUACAUUUGCGAGUAUCAUAAGUGAAUAUCUUAACUAUCAUAGACACAUACAAAAGGGAGACUAAAUCCCUUUCAAUUCUUGCAUACAAGACUUGCAUACAAAAAGUCAAUAUCCUAACUCAAAAAACUACAAAAAGUAAGCCACGCUACUACACUUGUCAUUCUUGAUCUAAUUCUUCACCAUCAUCAAACAUAUCAUCAAAAUCAUCAGCCACAUCAUCUUCGUGAACUUGAUCUCUACUCUCUAGUAUAUGGCUUGGGCUGAAAGUUUAAGCUNNN